CCCCUUUUCACGGGCGCGGGAAACCCUUAUAUGCGGAGGCGUCGCUUCGGCGACUAUGGCAAUAAACGGGCGAUGCAAUAAACCUAUCGGACCCGGGGGCAGUACCCGGCGCCUCCACCACAAACCGGCGAAAGCAGAGCGGCCGCGGCCGGCUUGUGAUGGGGGCGAACCAGGAUCGACGAGGGUGUAAAGAUCGACUUUUUGCCCGGCAUGAUACCACCGUUAUCGGGUCAAACUAGUAGUUGCUAACGACAACUAUGCGGAAGCACGUCUCGCCGCGUAAGCGGUGCGAACGCUUCAAAUGAAGUCCUGACGGGUCGCACUGUCAGGCGGGGUUCGGAGGCACCUGGCAACAGAAGCCUCCACU
rnacentral:tmRNA from 1 species